rnacentral:rRNA from 1 species
GGACUACCAGGGUAUCUAAUCCCGUUUGCUCCCCUGGCUUUCGCGCCUCAGCGUCAGGAAAGGUCCAGCGCGUCGCUUUCGCCACCGGCGUUCCUCGGGAUAUCUACGCAUUUCACCGCUCCACCCUGAGUUCCACGCGCCCCUACCUCCCUCCAGGCCGUCAGUAUCGGGAGCUGUUUUCCAGUUAGGCUGAAAGAUUUCACCCCCGACUUGACGGUCCGCCUACGCGCCCUUUAAGCCCAGUGAAUCCGAACAACGUUCGCACGGUUCGUCUUACCGCGGCUGCUGGCAC